AUUGAACGCUGGCGGCAGGCCUAACACAUGCAAGUCGAACGAGUGGCGGACGGGUGAGUAAUGUCUGGGAAACUGCCCGAUGGAGGGGGAUAAAUACUGGAAACGGUAGCUAAUACCGCAUACCAUCAGCUUAGCCCAGAUGGGAUUAGCUAGUCGGUGGGGUAACGGCUCAUCUAGGCGACGAUCCCUAUCUGGUCUGAGAGGAUGACCAGCCACAUGGGAACUGAGACACGGUCCAGACUCCUACGGGAGGCAGCAGUGGGGAAUAUUGCACAAUGGGCGCAAGCCUGAUGCAGCCAUGCCGCGUGUAUGAAGAAGGCCUUCGGGUUGUAAAGUACUUUCAGCGAGGAGGCGUUACUCGCAGAAGAAGCACCGGCUAACUCCGUGCCAGCAGCCGCGGUAAUAC
rnacentral:rRNA from 1 species